rnacentral:rRNA from 1 species
GGUGCGAAAGCGUGGGGAGCAAACAGGAUUAGAUACCCUGGUAGUCCACGCUGUAAACGAUGUCGAUUUAGAGGUUGUGGUCUUGAACCGUGGCUUCUGGAGCUAACGCGUUAAAUCGACCGCCUGGGGAGUACGGCCGCAAGGUUAAAACUCAAAUGAAUUGACGGGGGCCCGCACAAGCGGUGGAGCAUGUGGUUUAAUUCGAUGCAACGCGAAGAACCUUACCUACUCUUGACAUCCAGCGAAUCCUUUAGAGAUAGAGGAGUGCCUUCGGGAACGCUGAGACAGGUGCUGCAUGGCUGUCGUCAGCUCGUGUUGUGAAAUGUUGGGUUAAGUCCCGCAACGAGCGCAACCCU